rnacentral:rRNA from 1 species
GACGAACGCUGGCGGCGUGCCUAAUACAUGCAAGUAGGACGCAGUUGCGAACGGGUGAGUAACGCGUAGGUAACUGCCUAUUAGAGGGGGAUAACUAUUGGAAACGAUAGCUAAUACCGCAUACUAGUAGAUGGACCUGCGUUGUAUUAGCUAGUAGGUAGGGUAAUGGCCUACCAAGGAAACGAUACAUAGCCGACCUGAGAGGGGGAUCGGCCAAACUGGGACUGGGAAACGGCCCAGAAUCCGACGGGAGGCAGCAGUAGGGAAUCUUCGGCAAGGGGGGGAACCCUGGCCGAGCAACGCCGGGGGAGUGAAGAAGGUUGUCGGAUCGUAAAGCUCUGGUGUUAAGGAAGCGGUACUUAACCAGAAAGGGACGGCUAACUACGUGCCAGCAGCCGCGGUAAUUC